CGCGCCUGCCCGGCCGGCGGCGGAGCUCGGCUACAGGGGGAGGGGGGUGGGGGGGCGGCUCGGCGGCGGGUCUGCGGGCCGGGCGGGCCCCAUGGGCGGGUGUGUGGGCUCCCACCACGACUCCUCGGGCAGCCUCAACGAGAACUCGGACGGCACCGGAGUUGCGCUCGGUCGUAAUCAGCCCUUGAAGAAAGAGAAACCGAAAUGGAAGAGUGAUUACCCCAUGACAGACGGACAGUUGCGCAGCAAGAGAGAUGAGUUUUGGGACACGGCGCCGGCUUUCGAAGGUCGCAAGGAGAUUUGGGACGCGCUCAAGGCUGCCGCGCACGCUUUUGAGAGCAACGAUCACGAACUGGCACAGGCGAUCAUUGAUGGUGCAAACAUAACACUACCACAUGGUGCUCUUACGGAGUGUUACGAUGAACUGGGCAACCGGUACCAGCUCCCUGUCUACUGCCUCGCGCCACCCAUCAACAUGAUAGAGGAGAAGGGCGACCUGGAGACUCUGGAUAUUCCUGAUCCCCCACCCAAUUCAGGGCACGAAUGCCAGCUCCGUUUGCGCCUGUCCACAGGCAAAGACCUCAAACUCAUGGUCCGCAGCAUGGACACCGUGUACCACAUGAAGAGGCGGCUGCACGCGGUGGAGGGAGUGGAGCCGGGCAGCCAGCGCUGGUUCUUCUCGGGCAGGCCGCUGGCUGACAAAAUGAAACUGGAGGAGCUGAAAAUCCCAAAGGACUACGUGGUGCAAGUCAUUGUGAGCCAGCCCUUAGCAAAUCCCACCCCGGUGGAAAACUGAUUUCUGCUUGUUUAUUGAUUCUUCUUUCCUCCGUCUCUGUCGUGGGGUUUGUUUUCACUGCCCUCUCUUCUUUCGGUUUGUCCUGCUAAUGGAUUGGUUCCAAGAAAUGACCAGCAAAAAUUCCAUCUGUGAUGGAGAUCUGCAAAAACAAAACAUAAAAAUGUAAACUGGCCUUUGGGGUUUGCCUGAUCUCAUAUCUAAUGCAACAGCAAGCAGCACAGGGCAAGGGCAAAGGAAGGGGAAGAGAAAAGGGAGGAGGUACAAGGAGGGAGGGAAGAGAUUGUAGUUCACUUAAUACAGAAACGUAACGAUUCCUAAAACCGCAGGUGGUGUCCUGAUCCACAGAGCCAGAGCAACAGAGAGCACUUUUAAAAAAUAUUAAUCAAUUUAUAAGAUUUCAUAUCAGCACCAGACACAGUUCAUGCAAGAACUGCAGCUGCUCCGGGCAUGCCCUGCAUUGCGUGUUCCCGGGUUCCUUUCUGGUUCCUCCGAACUCUGGUGCAGCGCUGGGCUGGGCGCUCGGGCUCCGUCCUGCGCAGGCAGCUCCUGGGGAUGCUCACACCGAGCGAUCGUACAUUCCAAGCUGGCAGCACGGUCCUGUGCCAUUGCUGGCUCCCGAGCUGGGCGCACAGCCCUCCGGAGCCUUAGGCAAUAACUUAAUGUAUACUCUCACGUACUGUACUGUAAACUUACUUGCUACAAGACUGACUUAGCCUGAGGUUUACUGGCUGACUGGCAACUGCCGAAUUACUCUAUAUCACUCAGAUUGUUAAACUAAGCUUUGAGCAGCCUGGCUGAGCGGUGCGCUGUGCUUAAGCAUGAGGUGCAUCGCCUUUGUCCGGCGGCACCGCCGUGACAGGCACAGGUUACACUGCAUUUACACCCAGACGCAGUGGAUGUUUGCAGCUCCUCCUGCUCGGUUCCUAGAGGGCACAGAGUGUGGAAGACGGUGAGGAGGACGCAGCAGCUCACGGUUUGCAGCUUUUCAUGGGAGCGUCGUGGGCAGCAGCAACCGGUGUCCUCGCUCUGGUGACCCUGCGGCCAGGACAAGCGCAGUGUCCUCACCAGCACACCCCGCGGCCCAGAGCGGGACGGUGCCGUUUCACAGCCAGUGCUUUCCCUUCAGAAUGUACGAGGAGCCCUUUCGGCAAACGACAAAUCCUUUUGUAGUCUCAAAAAUCUGAAUCGGAGCAUGUUUUUUGGGGGGGGUGGGUAGUGGUAAUCUAAUUGCUGAUUCCCUCAGUUAGAGAUGCUCUCUGUGUUCCUUUGGCUGCCCUGCACCCCUCUCUGGCAAUGCCUUCGGUUGAGAUCAAAUGCUCUGUUCCUUUUAAACAUGAUUUCUAGUUUGCUCGUUUUUUCAGCCAUCAUUUAAAUUACUUCACUUCUUCCACAGCCGAAUAGCUAUUCCAUAGCCAAAUGUUCUAUUCAGCUAUCAAUAGCUUAUUUUUAUUGCUUUGUCUUCCCUCUCUGCAUCAAUGGUCUAAAGCUACAGUUGUCCCGGCUGCUUCUCAUCUGGUGGCAAAACUGGUGGGUUUGAGUGAGAAUUUUAAAGCUGUUACGUUUGCUCUUUCAUUGAUUCCGUAGAACCCAGUUUCUCGGACUCAAAGGGAAUUCUUGCUCCAUGAGCAUCAGCGCAGAGCCAGAGCCAGCAGAGUCACUCGUGCAAUGUCACGAGUCAUUCCCAGCAGAUGGAAGCAGGCGCAGAAUUUAUGCUGAUGGUUGGAAAACAGAUCCAUGUUUCAUAUGCAUUUUUCCGCCCUGCCCCUGAUAAACACAGGUUUCAUUUUAGUCCCUGUGUUGUAUUAAGCCUGCGGUUUUCUGGCAGCUCCUUCGGCCCUGAUGUGGGACAGGACAACUGACGAGCAGCGGCAGAGCUGUGCGAAGGAAAAACGUUCCUGAAUGAGGAGGAGAGGAAAGGAGCUCGCUGGAGCAACAAGGCAACACGUGGCAGCGUGCGCAACCUUUGGUAAAGCAGAUGGCUGACAGGCAAAAUGUUGCUGUAGUAUGACGUGCUUCUGCAUAUAUAUCCAUUGUUAGUAAAUAAUGUAAAAACUUUUUCAAAGUAUUAAAAACAAAUAAAUCUUAGUUUGUUACAAUGGCGGGAUGCUUUUAGCCAUGGAGCUUUGAAAGCGCUUUAGCUGUGUAAGUGUUGAUGAAUUAAAUGCUGUGUGUUUCUCCAUUUCUCUCUUCUUCGGAAGCGUAAGCUGUAGCUACGUUUCUGACUCGAUCUGUAUUUUACAAGCUCCUUUCUAUGUCACUGUACAUACAUCCCAGACCCUGCACCUUAUGCAGAGAAUGUUUACAUUUAAAAAAGAGAAAAAUAUGGCUGGCUUUUCCACUGCGCUGCUCCGCUGCUGUUGUGUUGAAAUGAAGGUGGUCUCUGUUGGAAAUGGGCUGGUUUUCCUUUGCCCUUCACCACUUCCCGUAAUUCCGAGUCCCUCCUGGACGGUGCCUGGUGGCUCUUGGACAGUUUGCAUCCACCUGGAAUAGGCUGUAGGGGUUAUGUGAGAAAGGUGCUUUUGAAAACUUGCUUUGGGUGGGGGGAUGAGCUUCAUACGUUCUGCAAACUUUACUUGGGAAAAAGAACAAAAUGUUCUUCAAGCCCAGGAGAUGCCGAUGGGCUGAGAUGCCGAUGGGCUGAGAUGCCGAUGGGCUGAGAUGCCGAUGGGCUGCUGUGCAGGUUAAUGCAUCCAGGAAGCCUUUUGAGUUAAACUUUCCAAGCUUUCUCUCCCAAAGAAGUUGAAUGUCCUGCUGUUCCAUCUGCAGCUACAAACACUUGCGUUGCUUAAUGACUGUAUAUACAACCCUGCCCGCUUUAAGACUUUUCAUAAAGCGUUUUUGAUUGCUCUGCUCUGCAAACGACUCUCCUCUUCCACCUUUCAUCCGCUUAGAUCCUCCGUAGCUGCGUGUGUUGCUGUUUAUAGGCGAUGGAGCUGUAGCUCUCGUUCUGAGGGGCAUCCCACUGAGCCUGCAGAAGUGAAACCCUUGGAGGAUGAGCUGUGUUAACCCGCAGGCUUCUGACUGUGGAUUUGAGACUUAUCAUCAACGUGUCCACUGGACUCUCCUUGAAAAAGCGUGUUCCUGCCAGCAGGACCACUUGUUGGGUGUUUAUCCGGUAGGACUCUGUAUUUGUAUAUUUUACAGAUGAAGACCAUUCGAUCAGAGCCAUGGGGCAAAUAGAGAACUUAAAAUCCUGACUCCUGCCUUAAAACUUCAUCUUGAGCUCCAAAAAUUCUGCACCUGCUCAUUCCCUAGUCCCUUUAUUUUUUUCCUUAGGAAAUUUGAAUCCAGUGCAAGGCUGGAGGCAAUUCAAGGAAAAUGAAAAUAAAUUUUAGCUGAUGGCUUUAUUAAAAUAACUAACUGGUCUUGCAUUAAAAACUCUAUUUGUGCCUCUCUUAAGUCCAGGGAAUGUUUAGAAAGUGGAGGUGGCUUUUGAGCAAUGAUGGGAUGGCUGCGUUAGCUGGUUUGCGAGACACUCGCUUUCCUGUGCUCUGAGCAAGAGACUUUGUGUCCUCUCUGCCUCAUGGGAAUGGCUUUCAAAGAUGGCUGGUACCAUCAAAUUUGUACUUCUUGAAUAAAUAUCUUCAUUUUUAUGGUAAAACUUCUUGUAUGCGGUUUGUGUGUGCCACGUAACAAACAUUCAUGUGACGUAGGAUACGGUGCUAGACACAGACAAUGCACAGCUCCAACGCACGCUGGAACAAGAACAAGGGCAUUCCAGUGUGUAAAACAUGCUCUUUAAUUUGUUUUCCCCCUCCCUGGGUCCUUCAGCCAAUGAAGAAUUCUGGGACAAUAUAAAGACGCUGUGAACAUCAGGUAAUUUUUAAGAUGCAUUAUGUAUUUUUAUGUUAUGCUUUGUGGUUGAGACAUCACAGUGGUGUGUGCACGUGUUUCUAAAUCCACUGCAAAGCACAAGCAGGUUGUCUUUAGACUGUUAAAUUAUGUCUUUUUUUUAUCCUAGGGAAGAUCCUUUACCAUUGGGCGCAAAACAUCAUGCACUUCUAUUGGAAAUGCUGUACAAAAUUCCUGUACUUAAAAAAGAGAAACCUUUUUUCCCCCCUGCGCUUAGAAAAAUAAAAGUAAUCCUGGGAAUGCCAUCUAUGCAUUAAGAAAUAAA